rnacentral:lncRNA from 1 species
UUUGGACUCUGGCCCUGGCUCUGUGGCCUGACCACUAAAUCAGCCUGCCUACAACACAGUCCUUACUGUCUUAGGGCAGCCUCCACAAAUUUUACCACCCAUUCAUUCUAGAAACACACUAUUGUGUCUGGAAAGCUACAGAGUGGGCCAUUUUUCCUGGCUUCAGGGGCAGCAAAGGAAAGGCAGGCAAACAGGUGACAACAGCAGACCAAGCAUCAUUAUUGGGACCAUUAAUUUACUGUGGUACUGCAGCAGACAUUAUCAAGAUACUGGUGGUGGUUAAUCCUGUUAAAUGCCAGCAAGUGUGCAUGGUGCAGCACAAGACACAGGAAGAUACAGGGAAGUUUAAUGUUAUUGCUUCUUAUCAUUUAUGUGCAUUUCCAUUUUGUAGACACUCUAGAAAUGCAUGGAAGAAUCUGUGCCUCCAAAGCAACUUCAAGUCAAAUAGACAAGACAGAGAAUAGCCUCAUU